rnacentral:rRNA from 1 species
GGAUUAGAUACCCUGGUAGUCCACGCUGUAAACGAUGAUAACUCGUUGUUGGCGAUAUACGGUCAGCGACCAAGCGAAAGCGUUAAGUUAUCCACCUGGGGAGUACGAUCGCAAGGUUGAAACUCAAAGGAAUUGACGGGGGCCCGCACAAGCGGUGGAGCAUGUGGUUUAAUUCGAUGAUACGCGAGGAACCUUACCAAGGCUUAAAUGUACCACGACCUCCUGGGAAACCAGGAUUUCCUUCGGGACGAGGUACAAGGUGCUGCAUGGUUGUCGUCAGCUCGUGUCG